CUCCUAUCUAGAUUCCCUAUUGGCCAGACAGUGCUUUAUUGACAAAUGCACAGGACUUCCCCAACAGGGAUGACAUAAAAUUCAUGUUCACUGGGGUUCCGCUGAGGCCCAGGCUAAAGGACAGGGGAGUAAUUGUGGCCUAGUCACCUCAGGCCAUUCUCACAGGCCAGUGCACAGGCCCUCAUUCACCCAGCAGUGUUUUCCUGUCUAGGGAACCCUGUGAAGUCCGGGUGCUCUUCUCUCAGGGAACAUGAGUCCUGCCAAAGGAUGCACUUUUUUGGUACUCUAUGUAUUAUAAGGCUGGCUGGCAUCAGAAAUCUGUUAAUGUCCAUCUCUUCUAUUCUGCAUUUCACUGAUCCAGGAUGCAGACUUGGUGCCCCUGUCAUUUCACCUUCAGGUAAGAGAAAGUUCAUGUUAAUUGCCUAGGACUCUUUUUUAUAUCUGCCUACAAAUAUUUAAUGGCACGUUCUUCUAGGAAUUCAUUGACACUUGCAGCACAGAAAAUGUGCUCUCCCUUCCUUUUUGGUAUCCCCUAGGCCAAUUCACAUGUGAAAAGUAUGGCACUUCAAACUAUCUUUACUUAUAUAUUUGCAAAUCGUAGGUAUUUGGAAAUAGAGCAGUGACUGUUCAUGUAAAUGGGUCACAAGGACUGGUUCAGGAUGUACAGGCACUGUGCCUUGCACAGCUCAGUGUUAGGCAAAUAUUACCUUGAAAUUCCUGGCUUGGGGUGUCUAUCUAGCUCUCAUGGUUAUUAUUACUUCCUGAAUAAAAAUUUCAUUUUUCCACUUUGUCAGGAUAUAGCUAUGCUCCAAAAUUGCAAACAUUUUGCUCAUGAAUUUCCACUAUGCAGGCUCUCAAUGGCAGGGAGAUCACUGAGUUACUUUUCUUAGGUUCAUAAUGCAAAUGGAGACUCACAGUUUCCUCAUGCUCAAAUGUAUGUAUCAGUCAGGCAAACUCAGAUAUCUUUUCCUUUUGUUAGAAUUAGUGAACUUGUCCUGACAUGCAUGCAUCAGUCCAUAUGAGGCAACUUGACAGGAUACAAUUAUCCACGCAUUCCCCUCUUUGCCUAGAUGCACAGGCUCAUUAUCAUGUGGAGACGAAAUCUUCACUCAUGAGUUUCAUGGAAUUUCAACCACAUGAAUGACAUUCCAAGCAACAAGGCUUCAGAUGCAUAUGCAAUAAGGAAUGGGCCAAGAGUACAGGUGUAGGUAUCCUAAGUAGUUGAUACUUUUGCAACAAAAACCUUGAUGGUUCACAUCUUACAAUGUUGAUUAGGCAAUGAUUUCAGAAAAAAAUGGGAUAGAGCUGUGCAAAGAACUGGAGAUGAAUGAUCAUGGAUCUUUUAAGACGCAGUGCCUGAACAGAAGCUAAAAUGUUUUCACCAGACUCUUAAUAUGCCUUCCCAAUAUUAUGUCAGCUGAUGCUAUGAAUGUCGGCAGUGAGCUUGAGGGUGGCACAGUUGAAGUGUAAAACUUGACUAGGGGUAGCAAACAGGUAUCCAACACUAUAAUUUUUCAUUAUCUUUUUCACAGUUUUAUUACAAAUUGCCAAAAACUAACUUGCUAGAGAGUUUGGGUGUUCUGAAAUUGGGCAUUUCAUUCCUCUGACACUGACCUGUUAUUUUGGUGGCACAAAAUUUUCCUUGCCUAAGAGAAUUGUUUAUAUGCUUGAUCCCUUGCAGCAGCCUAGUGCUGGCUGACAAUUUGACUGAAUAUUGCAGAGAUCAUCCUUCUAGAUUGUCUUUGUCAUCGUGGUAAGCAGCACUGUUUUUGACCCACUAUCAUAUAUAUUUAUGCCUUCUGAGGACACGGGUCUAUGAUGACAUAACAAUGUCAUGCAGAUCGAUAAACACAUAAAAAUCAUUUUCAAUAGGAUUAUGAUGAGACCCAGGCUAUAAGACUGGGGAGAAAUGAGGGCCUAGUAUACUCAAGCAGUUCUGAUAAGCCAGUGCACAGGCCCUCAUUCACCUAGCAGUGUUUCCUUGUCUGGGCAAUCCUGUGAGGUGCAGAUGCUCUUCUUUAGGAGAGCACUGAGCUUCCCUCAGAAGGACUUGUUGGGACAAUCUAUGUAUGUCAAAUCUGCCAUGUAUCAGCACUAUGCACAUUUCCAUCUCUUCUCUCCUGGAUUACAGUGAUCAAGAAUACUGAUUGUGUGGCCCAAUCAUUUCACAUUCAGGUAAGGUGAAAAUUCAGGUUAACUACCUUGGAUGUUGUUGGAUUUCUGCCUUCAAUAGUAGAAAGCAUAAACUUCUAGGAAUCCAAGGACAUUUAAGGCAUAGAACUUGGGCUCUCCUUUCCUUUUGGUAAUUCCUUAAGCCUCCCAUGAGAAGAUGGUAAUUCAUACUAUUUUUUAUUGUAGGAUUCCAAUUCAUAGGUCUGGGAAAUCAUAGCUGUGACUGUUCUGGGAAAUGGGACACCUAGAUUAGGUCAGAUGUGUAGGUCCUGUGCCAUGCUCAGCUCAGUGAUAGGUAAAUGUUACUUUUAAAUUCCUGGCUUUGGGUGUCUAUCUAGAACUCAUGCUGAUUGUUAGUGCUGGGGCAAAAACUUCAUAUUCUCCCAGUGUCAGGAGGGUGACAUACUCCAAACUUCCAAAUAUGGCGCUCAUGCAUGUCCACUAUGCAGUCCCUCAACUACAGGGAACAGAAACACACAAACCACAAGGCCUGCUUUGAAAACAGUUCUGAUAUUCCUGUUGACAUUGCAUGUUUCAUAAAUAUCCAUUACCUGAUGGCACUUGGAUAUGCACUGCAUGAUUCUAUAUAGUUCACAUGUUACUUGACAAAAUAAAAAUGCCAUACUGCAUUGAUAGACACAGGACAACUCAGUGCUUCUCUUAGGGAGAUGAAGAGGAAAACAUAGGGGAGAUCAGAAUGAGGAGAAUGACCAAUGUAGAAAAAUCUCAUAAUGAAUAUAUUAUCAUGAAAUCCAAAUGCUGGAAUGUCUCUUAAAAUUAAUUAGAAGACCAUCUUUGCCAGUUUUUAUGUGUUUUUAAAAAUAUUUUAUCAUCGUUCAAAGCUCUGUGGUUUUUCUCAUUUUGAUCACUAAAGCUGCAAUUUUGAAAUUAAUAAGUUUUCAUCUCAAAUGUGCUUUAAGAGGCAGAAGACCAUAUGUUCAUUCUGAUUGUGGUUCAGUAACUCUGGUCAGAAUAUGAGCAAUAAGAAAACUUUAGAGUCCCGACCAUCCAUUUCAAAGUCAAAGAGACUAGCUAUUCCAGCUUUCCUGUAUCAUUGGAAAGAGACAGGAGAUAAGAGAGAGGCUUUCUUUAUCUAUGAUGACAAUAAGUCUCUAAGGAUGGUGAGCAACGCAUAAAAAUGACAAUGUGAGGGCCAGGUGGGAUGUUCCCUUAACAACAGUGAUGUUUCCCGAAUAUGGCUACUACUGCUCCCUUUUCCAGGAUGACAGAAAACAAUGCAUACUGCUUUAUCUCCCAUAUUUUGAGGGAAAACAAUUUUAAUGUGACUAUCAUGUAGUAUCAUAUGAUGAAUCACUUUCUGUUACACUAUACAAAUAUGUACAUUCACCCUUGCUUUUAUUUCAUUGAUUUUAUGAGGGUUUGAAAGAAUGAAUUCAAAGAUGGGGAAUCAGUGAUUUUAUCACUGAGCAUUACCGGGGCACAGCAUUGUGACAUUCCUAUAUUGGGGAAAGGAGAAAAGGAUUGUAGUAUUCCCUGCCGCCAUUACCAAGAAUUUCAGAGGUUGCAGUACCUUCAUCCUGUUCCCAAUUACCAGCAAUGGAAGAUAAGUUAUUUUGUGUUAGAAUUAUUGCUUUUCUCUUCAAUUAACUAAACACAUCAGGAGGGUCAUAGUCAUGUACCAUCCAGUCACCAAAUCAAGCCAUGUCUUCAGACUGACCAGAAAGCACCAAUACACUACUAUCACGUCAACAUAUGGAGAAUAUCAUAUUUUUCUGAUUAUGGGAUCCACGUCAGAAGAGUAGCCUUUGACACCCAACUUGGAAAGAAUGCUUCCGAUUCCAAGAGAACUGAUUCUGUUUUAUUCCAUGAAGGAGAAUUAAGCAAACUGACAAUUCGUCUGAAUUUCCCAAAAUCUUACCCUCUAAACUAUCUUUGCCAUGAGUUAUGUUGAACUUUUUAUGUACCAAUUUCAAGUACAUCUAUGCAUUCUGAGAACAUGGGUCUUUGAUGACAAACCAAUGUCACACAGAGAGGUGAUGAAAUAAAAAUAAUUUUAAAGGAUAGGAAAGAAAUGGGGGCCUAGUCUCCUCUGAUAUUUCUCAUAGUCCAAUACACAGGCCCUCAUUACCUUAACAGUGUUUCCUGGUCUGGAGAAUCCUGUGAGGUCAAGUUGCACUUCCUCAGCAGAGCACUGAGCUUUGUGUCAUAAGCCACUUGUUGUAAAACUCUACACAUGUCUAGGUUGCCAGGAACAAGCAAGAAACACAUGUCCCAUCUUAUCUGCCCUCUUUCAGUGAUCCUGGUUGUCAACUUGGUGCCACAGAGAUGAGACUUUUAGAGAAGUGGAAAGAAAAUCCCAAGGUCCAGGCUCUCUCUGGGUCCUGUGCCUUCACCUACUAAUACAGCUGACCUUCUGAGUCAUUUAAUAACAUUCGCAGUACAGCAUUCAUGUGCUGCCUUCCUAUUAAAAAAACUGGUACCUAAGCUCCAGAUUCUAGGAUCAACAUUCAAUCUGCCUAUCUUGGAGACUUAAAAAAUCCUUAGAUAUGAGAAAUGGAGCACCAACUGCACGGGGGAGGACAGCACAAGUUUCAGGUCAAGAGGUUUAUGCAUUCUGCAUUGCACAGAUCAGUGAUUGCACAAUAUGAUCAUGACUUUACUGCAUUGGUGUGUCUAUGUGACUCCCAUUCUGAUUGUUCCAGCAAGGGUAAUAACUCUGGGCCUCACUAUGUCAGGAUGGUGACAUGCUCAGUGUUUGCAAAGAUUGGCCACAGGAAUGACCACUCUGAAUGCCCUGGAUACCAGGGGGAUCAAUAAGCUACUUUUCUGUGGAAUCCGAAGAUAUUAGGAGACUCCCAAUGACCUAAUGCUGUAAUGGGCACUGAGAGCAGGACCAAAUCAGAUGCCUUUCCAUCCCUUGGGAUUAAGGAAUUUUUCUGUCACCCAUGUAUCAAAAAUAAUAGGCCAUGCAAGAGGGUGCAUCAUGUAAUGCACAUCCAUUGCACCCUCAAAUACACAGACUCAAUAUCAUCUGAAGACCAGCUCAUCACACAUCGGGUGCAUGGUAUAUAUAUAAAGGAUUCCCUGGCUUUUAUGAUAAUGAAUGACCAGAAAACUUGAACAAGAAUACUAAGAAGGAGGUCCAUGGGAAAUAAAGAACCUUGAGGUUAAGCAUCCUGCUCUGGUGAGUUGAAGUAAUUUUCAGAUGGUAAUAUGUUAAUGCUAUGCAAUAAACAGCAGAUGACAGUCUUGGACCUUGUCAGGAACAUGGCAAAGAUCAGAACCUGAAAUAAUUUCAGUAGCUGUGUAUCAUGUUUUCCCAAUAUUACAUGGUAGGAUUCUAGGAGUGAAGGCACAGAAGGCAAGGUUGAAUCAACUAAAGGAUUAAAUUUACCUUGGGGCCCCAGACAGUUUUCAUUUCCUCAACUCUCCCAUUCAUUGGCAAUUGACCCUAAUUAUUCUGCUAGAGAUAAUGGUGUGAUCAGACAGUGGGCAUGGCAACUUCAUCAAAACCUAACAUGGUAAAGUCUAUGUCACAACAGUAGUAAGUUUUUGACACCCAAUUUAGGAUGUUUGCACUUCAGGUAUUUUGCAACAUGUGUACUUAAUGAAGAAAACACAGCAAUCACACAUAAUAUAGUUUGCAAAUAGAUACAACUCUGACUUGUACAAAGCACUACACUCAGAUCCAUGCAUCUGCAGAACACUCCCAUGGCAAACAGAGAGAUAGGUAGUUUCAAACAGGCCUUAUACAUGGAAGCAGAUACACUCAGUUUCGCAAGUGUGACACCUAUGAAACGCAAACCCUAUAUUCAGAAUCAUUGAGAUCCAUCCAAAUGAAGAUCAAACAACAUUUUUUAAGUUUCACUGAGAUACUAUAAAAUGAAGUCUUGAGGAGUGUUGACAUGUGUUGAAUGGAUACCUGUACCUAAAAAUGUUUAAAGAAAAGGAAACUGAAUAAAGAAACUUGUCCUAGAAUAGUGGUAAAAUACACAGUUCUCACACAGAAACCAUCAAUUAAAUUCAAGGAUGCAGUGUGCUCCUCAAGUUCUUAUAGAAAAUGCCUUUCUUUCAGAGAAAAAAAGUUUACCAUCUCAUUUACAAGUGCCACUGUUAAAUUGGAAAACAUCUAUGUUUGGAAGGGCAUCUGAAACACCUUUGCUGUGUAAGAUUUCAGCACCACCUCAAGGAAUAAAACUCAUGAUUGUACUUUCCAAAGAAGUUUUGCCUUUCCAGAAUUAUCUUAAUAAUGUCAUAAAUAUCAAAAUGAACACCUGAGAUCCUUUCUCUGAAGACAUUCUCAUUAUGAUCUUACAUCCAGGUAUAGAAGAAUUCAAAACUUGCAUCUUUGGUAUAGAUGUCGUAACCUGUCUGUGUUUGAGAACUGCUUUCUCUACCAGUUCAUGCUAGACUUAGCAGUCAGGAUACAAUUCCAUCCAUGACAUAAUUUCAUUCCUAUUUUCUUGCACUUUGAAGUUGCAUUGGACUUUUCCCCUCCUGGCUGGAGGAGGUAAGCAUUGAAUCUUAUUUUGUUGUGUAGGUACCUCUUUUCUAUGACUGGUAAUUUCAAACCUCAGGAUAUAAUACUUCAGAGGUCCAAGGACAUAUUUGCUAUGAUUUUCCUGUCUAGGCACUCAGGUUCUGAUUCGUGAAAUAUGGAUCACGUUUAUCCCACGUCAGCCCAUUUUUAUUCAAGUUCACAUACCAUGGAAUUCCAUUUUCAAGUCACCUAAAAGGUGACCAAAUUGCCUAGAUCCCUCUGUGCUUUUUCAAAGAAAAGAUCCCAGUUGUGUGAAAGGCAUUGUAAAGUCUCCUUUAACCACCUCAGUCUCAAGUUUCUGCUCUAAGGUAAGUUAGACUUCUUAUAUCUCAAUUCCUCUCUUGUUUUCUUACCUCAUUAUCCUUAAAACUCAUCAUAAGCCCAUUUCCUAGCAUCUUUUGCUGCUACAGAAUUCUGAGAAAUACAAGGGGGACCAUUCCCUAUGAAUAGCCCAGGAGAAUGGAGAAUACACAUUAUUAUUCCUUUUUUUCUGAUUGAUCUAGUUGUGAUACCUGACAAUGUACUCUCAGAGUUUUCAAUAACUGAUUUCUUUGCUUGUUUAUCUGGGAAAGCAUUCAAAACUUGUAUUUAAGCAUUUAAAACAUGUGAUAAUCUUUUACUUUACUUUUUACAAAGUAGGAAUAUAAGGUUAACCUCAGGGGUCCCAUGAUCAGACACAUUAAUAAAAAUAACGUUUUCUACUUAGGGAGAACCUCAAGUGAACUUUUGGAAAUUCAGAGGAGUAUUAAAUGUGGUAUUUUAGCAUAGAAAGACCUCAUCCAGAGAGAAAAACACAACAAAAGGCCUGCUCUUAAAAUGCUUCUGAUAUUACUGUAGGCAUUACUUAUCAUAUACAAACCCAUGAAGUGAUGGCAUUUGAUUACACACUGCAUGAUUCUACAAAGUUUUGACUGUUACCUGACAAAUGCAAAAUCCAUACUGGAAUCUGAAGCACAGGACAAAUUCAGUGGUUAUGUGUGGGAGAUUUGGAUGUAAACAGGGGAGAUCAGGAGGAGGAGGAAGAAAAAUAUAGUAAGCAUAUCAUUUUAAAUAUAUUUUCAUAAAAUCCAAAAGAUGCAAUGCCUUUUAAAAUUUACAGAGGAUGACUUUUCUCAUUUUUGAUGUGUUUUUCUCAGUUUUUUAUCCAAUUUUCAUGUAAAGCAGACUUCAGUUAAUAAAUUGAGCCCAUCAAAACUGCAGGGAAUUUUUCUUUUGUAUAAUUAAUUCUGGCAAAUUGAACAUUGAUAACUUUUCAAUAUGUAUAUAUUUUGCCAGGAAAGAGACCUUCUAUAUGUGGGUCAGUAAGUCUGAUCUUAACCUGAUCAACAAGACAGCUUCACAGUCCUUGCCAUCCAUUUCAAAGUCAAAGAGAGCAGAUUUCCAGAUUUUGACAAGUACUUUCCCCAUUGGAAGGAUGACAGAUUAUUGUAAAGAUAAACAGCACACUUGAUGAGGGUAUAGGUAAGGAUUUAUUGUGGCAAGUACUUACAAGAGAAAACUUGCAACCAAGGUGAAUCAGCAGCUUUUGCUAUAGGACUAGAAGCCUGAAAGGGAGCAAUCAUCUCUCUUGUAUCAACUUUUAUUACCACCUCCGUACAUUCGACUACCAAAGUGGGUGUGGUUAGCAGAACAGUAAACUUCCUUUUAUUACCAUUUCUGAAUGUGCUUCUAGCUACACCUUAGCUGGGCGUGGUUAGUGGUACAGUCCUAAUAUCUCUUCUAAAAUUCCUCUUUUGUUCUAAAGAAGAUAUUUAAGCAUACAACUACACUAACUUCUGUCAAUGUACAAAGCAUCUCAAACAUCUCUCCCAUUUAAACCAAAGCUUAUCUUUAAGAGAUACCCAAGUCUGAUGACUUCUUUCAAAUCCCAACCUUAAAAUAACUGAAAACUAACACUGACAGGUGUAAACUACCCUGCAAUGUCAACAAGAGGAAAAAUGGAUGUGGAAUUCUCACAUUUACUUCCUGCAAAAUUUAGAUGAUGACAAUCUCAUUGGUGAAUGUGGGAAGAAAAACAUUAGUGUAACAAAAAUCUUAAGUAGGUUAGAAAUUCUCAGUUUGGCAGGAGAUGCUUGAUUGAAUUUCUUGACUGGAAUUUUAGUGCUGAUUGAAGCUCUUGUCCAAAGCUCUGGCAAGAUUGUAGAAAGAGCUCUGAACCAGGUCCAUGUUCUGGAGUUAUCAAGUGAUGCAGUCCCAAGAUAGUUUCAGGAUGGUACUUUUCAUGUGGAGUCAUUGAUGUGGGGCAGUUGAGAUGCAUCAAGAUGAAUCAGAUGGAGUCCAUGAAUGAGGACCCCAUUCUGUUGCGAAAUCAUUUGAAGAUUGCUCUUAGUAAAUUCCUUUAUUUAUGCCAAACUCAAACAUAAAUGUUAACAAAGGAAUUGUCAACUUUUAAAUUUAUUGAAAUGGGGAAAGGCAACAAUAAAGAAGAGAGUAAACUUGGAGGAGAUAAGACAUUCAGAAAAGGAAGUCAGUGUAAACAACAUACAUGCCUAAUUUUCUUAUCUUUUGUCUUGUAUCAAUGGCUCUUGGGUAUAAUACGGAAAAUCUGAAUUUUAUAUUAACAAUAUGCUUGGAUUUAGAGUAGGAGAGCCAAUCCAACUCCAAACCCAGCUUCUUUUAAAUGAAUGGGGUAUAAAAAUAUAAAGAAACAAAAAGAAAUGGAUAUUAUAAAAACAAUUUAAUGAGAAGUUGUCUUUUAUACCACAAGCUGAAUUAUUAUUUGUUUGAUGGUCCUCAGAAUAGCUAACCAUUCUUCUUCAGGUAUCCAUAUGUCCAGUAUUUUUUCAUUGAAGCUGAGGUUUCCUGUAAAGACAAUAAACAGAAGACUUCUCUUUCUUUUUUGAGGUCUCCUUAUCCAUAGUAGAAUAUGACCUUGUAGAAAGCUCCUCCUGUGGGUCCUUCUGUUUCGAUCGACUCUUGAUUACUAUGAUGGUAUCCAAAGUUUUUCUUCUCCUGUGGAAACAAAGGGAAAAUGUUUCCCCAAAGUUACACAUAUCCUGUUUUCCAGACUGAGAUCAUAGCAACCUUGAACUACACUGCUAAUGCUAUGAAUGAAGGCAAUGAGGAUGAUUGUGAAGCCAGUGAAGAGUAAAACAUACGUGGGUGUUGCAAACAGGUAGCCACCAUUAAUAUUUUUCAUUAUCUCUCCCAUGACUUUGAUAAGCAAUUGCCAACUUAUCAUGCUUUAGAGGUUUGGCUGUGCAAAAGGUAGGCAAGGCAAUUAUUCUGACCCUGACAUGCCCAUUUUGAUGUCCCAAAAUUUGUCUUGAAUAAAGACGUUAUUCUGCUUUAUCUCUGGCAGGACCCUAAUGCCAGCUGACCAUUUGCUGAAGCAUGCCUAGACCUACCUGCAAGAUGGCCUUAGUAUACUGGAUGUAGAAUUCGUGCCCCAAUAAUUUCACCUUCAGGAGUCUAAGGCUGGCUGACUGAUUGUCUGAAGCUCUCCAAGAUCUACCUGCUAGAUGGUCUUUGUCAUCCUGUGAUCCAGCAUGCCUAAUAUUUGCCCCAGUCAUGAGAUAUUCAGUAGCCUAAUGCCGGCUGACCAUUUGUCUGAAGCUCACCAAGACUUACCUUCUAGAUGGUCUUUGUCGUCCUGUGAUUGAGGAUGCAGUCUUCUAACACAGUCAUUUCACCUUCAGGAACCUAAUGCCGGCUGACAAUUUUCUGAAGCUAGCCGAGACUUACAUUCUAGAUGGUCUUUGUCAUCCUGUUGUCCACGAUGCAGUCUUCUAGCUCAGUCAUUUCAGCUUCAGUGAUCCAGGAUGCAGACUUGGUACCCCAAUCAUUUCACUUUCAAGAGUCUAAUGAUGGCUGACCAUUUGUCCGAAGCUCAUGGAGACCUACCUUCUAGAUGGUCUUUGUCAUCCUGGAUACCGAUUUGGAACCCCUGUCCUUACACAUUCUGGAGCCAAAUGCAGGCUGACCAGUUGUCCAAAGCUCGCCAAGAACUACCUGAGACAUGGUCAUUGUUAUCCCGGCAAGCAGCACUGUUUGUGUACCAUUAUCAGUGAUCUAGGAUGUAGACAUGGUGCCCCGGUCAUUUCACCUUAAGUUAUCCAGGAUGCAGACAUUGUGCCCCAGUAAUUUCACUUUCAGUGAUCCAGGAUGCAGAAUUAUCCCUCAGUCAUUUCACAUUCAGGAACCUAAUGCUGGCUGACCAUUUUUCUGAAGCUCACCAAAUCUUACCUUCUAGAUGGUGUUUGUCAUCCAUUGCUCCAGGAUGCAGUCUUCUAACACAGUCAUUUCACCUUCAGUGAUCCAGGAUACACACUUGAAACCCUGUCAUUUCACAUUCAGGAGCCUAAUGUUGGAUGAUAAUUUGGCUGAAGCUUGCCAAGACUUACCUUCUAGAUGGUCUUUUUCAUCCUGGUUGGAAUUACAAAGGACUCUUACCAUUCAGGCUUGAUAGGAACCUAAUGCCGACUGACCAUUUGUCUGAAGCUUGGCUACACCUACCUGCAAGAUGGUCUUAGCAUCCUGGAUUCUAAUGUUCUAAUGCCGGCUGAACAUUUGUCUGAAAAUUGCAGAGACAUACCUGCUGGAUGAUCUUUAUCAGACUGUGAUCAAGAAUGCAGAUUUGGUGCCCCAGUCAUUUCACCUUCAGAUUUGAUCACCAAAUGCCCCCAAUUAUCAUGCUCAAGAGUUUGGACCUUCAGAAACUGGCAAUUCCUCUCACACUGAUAUAAUAUUUUGGCCAUGAAAAAUUAUCCUUUAACAAGAGAACAGAUUCUGCUUGAUAUAUUGUGGGAGUCUAAUGCCCACUGAAAAAUUUUCUGAAGAUCACCAAGACCUAAAUCCUACAUGGUAUUUAAAAUCUUAGUAAGCAGCAGUAUUUGUGUUCCACUAUCAGUUAUAGCUAUCCCUUCUAAGGACCCGGGUCUGUAGUGAAAAACGAAUGAUAUGAAGAGAAGUGAUGAUAUAAAAAAGCAUUAUUAAAAGGGUUAUGCUGAAGCCCAGGCUAAAGGACUGGUGAGAAUGUCGGGCCUAGUCUCUUCAUGCCUUUAUAGUGGUGCAGUACACAGGCCCUCAUUCACCCAGCAUUGUUUCCCUGUCUGGGGAAUCAUGUGAGUUCCAGGUACUCUUCUUAGAUGAGCACUGAGCCUGCCUAAGAAGGCAGUAUUAGGGGAAAUCUAUGUAUGUCAAUUCUGGCAAGCCUUAGUAAUCUACCAAUGUCAAUCUCUUUAGUCUACAUUUCAGUGAUCCAGGAUGCAGACUUGGUACGCCAAUCAUUUCACCUUCAGGUAAGCAAGUAAAGAACAGGCUAAGUGCCUCGGUCUCUUUAUGAUGUCUGCAUUCAAAUAUUACAAAGCAUGACCUUGUAGGAAUCCAGUGACACUUGCAGCAGAAAACGUAGACUCUCAUUCCUCUAGGCCUAUUCCCAUGAAAAAGGGAUGGUAUUUCAAACUGCCCUUUCUUGUAGAAUUCCAAAUACUAGGUAUCAGGAAAAAGAGCAGUGACUGAUCAGUGAAACGAGACUCCAGGAUUAGGUCAGGAUAUACAGGUCCUGUCCCUUGCACAGCUCAGUUAUAGUAAAAUAUGAUUUUGAAAGUCCUGGAUUGGGGUGUUUAUCUAGCUUCUAUGCUGAUGUUACUGCCGGGGCAAAAACUUCAUGUUCUUUUUGUGUCAGGAUGGUGAUAUACUCUAAAAUUGCAAAGAUGGUGCUCAUGAAUAUCCACUAUGCAGGCCAAAAACAGCAGGGAGAUCAUUUGGUUACAUUUCUUUGGCUAAUAGCAAAUGGAGAGUCACAGUGUUCUAGUGCACAAACAUACGUAUCAGUUAGAAAGUCAUAUAUAUUUUCCUUUUGUUAGGAUUAGUGAUCUUGUCCUGCCAUGAAGGCAUCAGGCCACAUGAGGCAAUUCGACAGGACACAUCUGGCCAGGAGCCUAAUGCCGGCUGAUCAUGUCUGAAGCUCGCAAAGAUCUACCUGCUGGAUGGUCUUUGUCAUCCUGUGAUACAGCAUCCUGAAUAUUUGCCCCAGUCAUGGGCUAUUCAGUUAUUCUGGAUGCACACUUGGUGCCCCAGGCAUUUCAUCUUCAGCAUUUCAGUUAUCCAGGAUGCAGACCUAGAGCCUCAGUCAUUUCACCUACAGGAGCCUAAAUCCAGCCGACCAUUUGAACAAAUAUCGCCGAGACCUACCUUCUAGAUGGUGUUUGAUAUGUUGGAUCCAAAUGCCAGCUGCUCAUUUGUCCGAAGCUCGCAGAGAUCUACCUUCUACAUGGUCUUUGUCAUCCUGGUAAGCAGAAAUGUUUGUGACCCACUAUCAAGUAUAGCUAUUUCUUCUGAGGACCCAGGUUUAUGAUGACAAACCAAUGUCAUGAAGAGAGAUGAUUACAUAAAAACGAUGCUCAAUAAGAUUAUGCGGAGGCCCAAACAAAAGCAAAGGUGAAAAAUGGGGACCUAGUCUCCUCAGGCCAUUCUCAUAGGCUAUUGCACAGGGCCUCAUUGACCCAGGAGUAUUUCCCUCUCUUGGGAAUCCUGUGAGGUAGAGUUGCUCUUCUUUAGAGGAGCACUGAGCCUCCAUCAGAAGGAAAUUGUGGCACUCUUCAUGUGUCAAGGAAACCAGGCAUCAGCACUCUGGUCAUGUACAUCUCUUCUCUUCUGCAUUUCAGUGGUGCCAGAUGCCAUCAUGGUGCCCCAAUCAUGAGACAUUCAUGUAAGUGGCACUUAUCUGCAAGGAGAAAAUUUGGUUACUUCUCUGCGGCAAAUAAGGCAGACGUAGACUCACAGUAUUCUAAUGCAUAAAUUACAUAUCAGUUAGGCAAACUCAGAUAUCUUUUCUUUCAUUAGGAUUAGUGAACUUGUCCUGCCAUUCAAGCAUCAGGCCACAUGAGGCAAUUUGACAGGAUGCAUCUGGCCAGGUAUUCCACUACUUGCCUAGAUGCACAGGCUGAUCAUCUUGUGUAGACCCACUCCUAACACAUCAGUGGCAUGAGACUUCAACCACAUAAAUGACACUCCAAGCUGCAAAUGCUUACAUUGCAUGUGUGAUAAGAAAUGGGUGAAGAGUAUAGGUUUAGGUAUCCUAAUCACACAGUGAAUGGGCUAUAAAGAAGCUUAAAGUUAUGCAUCUUACAAUGGUGAUUUGGUAAUGUCAGAGGGAAAUGGGAUAGAGUUGUGCAAAUAACUGGAUAUAAAUGGUCUUGGACCUUGUAAGACACAGUGCCAGAUCAGAAGCUAAACUUUUUUCAGCAGACCUAAAGUGUGCCUACACAAUGUUCUGACAGCUAAUGAUAUGAAUGCAGGUGGUGAGGAUGUUGGUUAAUCAUUUGAAAAUUUAAACAUGUCUAUGAGUAGCAAAAAGUUAACAAGCAUUAAAACAUUUCAUUAUCUCUUCCACAAAUUUGAUUAACAAUUGCCUCCAACUAUCGUGUAGAGAGUUUGGGUGUUAGGGAGCUGGGCAUUUCAUUUCCUCUGAUACUAACAUGACAUUUUAGGGACACUAAAUUUUCCUUGACUAUUUGAACUGAAUCUGCUUGAUCCCUUGCAGGAGCAUAAUGCCGGUUGACCAUUUGUCUGAUGCUCGCUGAGACUUACCUUCUAGAUGGUGUUUGUAAUCCUGUGAUCCAGGAAUCAGUCUUCUAACCUACUCAUUUCACCUUCAGGAGCCUAAUGCAGGCUGACCAUUUUCUGAAGCUAGCUGAGACUUACAUUCUAGAUGGUCUUUGACAUCCUGGAGAGCAACACUUUUUGUGACCCACUAUCAGUGAUCCAGGAUGCAGUCUUCUAAACAAGUAAUUUCACUUUCAGUGAUCCAAGAUGCAUACUUGGCCCCAAUCAUUUUUCCUUCAGUGAACGAGAAUGCAGACUUGGUGCCUCAUACGUGGAAAUAUCAGCUUACGUGCAUAUGUCUCAUUUGGAUAACUGCCUUCAAACUUUAAAAAGCAUGAACUUCUAGUGAACGUGGAUGCAGACUUGAUGCCUCAAUCAUUUCACCUUCAGUGAUCCAGGAUGCAGAGUUGGUGCACCAGUAAUUUCACCUUCAGCAGCAUAAUGCUGGCUAACGAUUUGACUGAAGAUUGCAGAGACCAUCCUUCUAAAUGGUCUUUGUCAUCGUGGUAAGCAGCACUUUUUGUGACACAAUAUCAGAUAUAUCUAUGCCUUCUGAGGAAACGAGUCUAUGAUGACAAACCAAUGCCAUGCAGAGUGAUGAUGACAUAAAAAUCAUUCUCAAUAGGAUUAUGAUGAGGCCGAGGCUAUAAGACUGGGGAGAAAUGAGGGCCUAGUCUACUCAGACCAUUCUCAUCAGCCAGUGUACAGACCCUCAUUCACCCAGCAGUGUUUUCAUGUCUGGGGAAUCGUGUGAGGUCCAUGUGCUCUUCUUUAGGAGAGCACUGAGCUUGCCUCAGAAGGAAUUGUUGGGACAAUCUAUGUAUGUCAAUUCUGCCAGGCAUCAGCACUCUGUGCAUUUUGAUCUCUUCUCUCCUGGAUUACAGUGAUCAAGGAUACUGAUUGUGUGGCCCAAUCAUUUCACAUUCAGGUAAUUUGAAAAUUCAGGUUAACUACCUUAGAUGUUGUUGGAUUUCUGCCUUCAAUAUUAGAAAGCAUAAACUUCUAGGAAUCCACGGACAUUUAAGGCAUAGACGUUGGCCUCUCCCUUCCUUUUGGGAAUCACUUAAGCCUAUUCCCAUGAGAAGAAGAUGGUAAUUCAAACAGCCUUUUAUUGUAGAAUUCCAAAUCAUAGGUUUGGGGAAACAUAGCUGUGAUUGUUCCGGGAAAUGGGACACCUGGAUUGGGUCAGAUGUGCAGGCCCUGCGCCGUGCUCAGCUCAGUGAUAGGUAAACGUUACCUAUAAAUUCCUGGCUUUGGGUGUCUAUCUACCACUCAUGCUGAUUGUUAGUGCCAGGGCAAAAUCUUCAUGUUCUCCCAGUGUCAGGAGGGUGACAUACUCUAAACUUCCAAACAUGGCAUUCAUGCAUGUCUACUAUGCAGUCCCUCAACUACAGGGAGAUCACUAGGUUACUCUUCUUGGGCUCAAAAAGCAAAUGGAGACUCACUGUGUUCUGGUGCUUAAAUGUAAAUAUCAGUUAGGCAAACUCAGAUACCUUUUCCUUUUGUUAGAAUUGUUGAAUUUGUCCUGACAUGAGUGCAUCAGGCCUCAUGAGGCAAUUCAGCAAGUUGCAACUGGCCAGGCAUAUAUUGCCUAGAUAUACAGGCUCAUCAUCUUGUGGAUACCCACCCAUCACACAUCAGUAGUAUGGAAUUUCAAACACAUGAAUGAUAUACCAAGUUGCAAAGGCUUCAGUUGCAUACAUGAUAAUGAAUGGGACAAGAGUACAGGUGUAGGUAUCCGAAGUAGGCAGUACUUGGGCAAUAAAGAAUCUUGAGGGUACUCAUCUUAACAUGGUGAUUAUGUAAUUGUGUCAGAAAGAAAAGGCAUAGAGCUGUGCAAAUUACUGGAGAUGAAUGGUCUUGAACCUUGUAAGAAACAAUGACUGCCAGAAGCUAAAAUGUUUUCAUCAGACCUAUAAUAUGACUUCCCAAUGGUCUGUCAGCUAAUGCUAUGAAUGCAGCCAGUGAGAAUGACAGUGAAACAAUGAAGCGUUAAAAAUUCUAGGAGUAGCAAAAGGUAACAAGCAUUAAAAUUAUUCAAUAUCUAUACCCGGCUUUGAUUACCAAUUACCCCCAAAUAUGUAGAGAUUUAGAGUGUUCCUUAGCUGGGUAUGGCAAUUCCUCUGAUACUGACAUGAUAUAUUGGAACCGCAAAAUUUUCCUUGCCUAAGAGAACUGAUUCUGCUUUAUUCCUUGCAGGAGCCUAGUGCUAGCUGACCAUUUCUCCAAAGGUCACUGAGACCUACCUUCUAGAUGAUCUUUUUAAUCCUGUGAUCAAGGUUAUCGAUUUGGUGCGCCAACAUUUCACCUUCAGGAGGCUAAUGCUGGCUGACCAUUUGGCCCAAGCUAGCCGUGACUUUCCUUCUAGAUGGCCUUUGUCAUCCUGUAAUCCAGGAUGCAGUCUCCUAACCCAGUCAUUUCACCUUCAGGAGCAUAAAACCUGCUGCUAUUUGUGCAAAACGUGAUGAUACCUGCCUUCUAGGUCUUUGUCAUCCUGUGAUCCAGGAUGCAGACUUGGUGCCCCAGUCAUUUCACCUUCAGUUAAGUGGAAAGGUCAGGUUGACUGCCUCGGUCUCUUUUGGAUAUCUGUCUUCAAAUAUUACAAAGCAUGAACUUGUAUGAAUCCAGUGAUACUUGCCGCACAAAACAUGUGCUCUCUCUUCCUUUUGGGUAUCCCGUAGGCCUAUUCCCAUGAGAAAAGGAUGGUAUUUCCAACUGUCUUUUCUUGUAGAAUUCCAAAUCAUUGGUAUGGGGAAACAGUGACUGUUUGGGGAAAUGGGACACCAGUAUUCGAUCAGGUUGUACAGGCAUUGUUACCUUGAAGUUUUUGGCUUGGGUUGUCUAUCUAGCUCCCAUGCUGAUUGUUACUGCCAGGGCUAAAACUUUACCUUCUCCCAGUUUGAGGAUGGUGAUAUGCUCCAAAAAUGCAAAAACAGUGCUCAGGAAUUUCCACUAUUCAGGCCCUCAACAGCAGGAAUUCACUAGGUUGAUUUUCUCAGGCUGAUAAAGCAAAGGGAUUCUCACAGUGUUCUAGUGCACAAUGUACAUAUCAGUAAGGCAAACUUAAUUUAACUUUUCCUUUUGUGAGGUUUAGUGAACUUGACCUAUCAUGCAGUCAUCAGGCCACAUAAGGCUAUUGGACAGGAUGCAACUGGCCAGGCAAUCCUCUCUUUGCCUAGAUUUACGGGCUCAUCACCAUGGGGAGACGCACUCACCACAAAUCAGUGGUAUGGAAUUUCGACCACAUGAAUGACAUGCCAAGCCUCAAAGGCUUAUGUUGCAUUUAUGAUAAAGAAUGGGCCAAGGGUACAGGUGUAGAUAUCCUUUGUAGGCAUUACUUGGGAAAUAAAAAUCCUUUAAAGUACACUUCUUACAAUGGGGAUUAGGCAAUGAUGUCAGAGGGAAAUAUGAUAGAGCUGUGAAAAGGACUGGAGAUGAAUGGCUUGGACCUUGUAAACACGGUGACUGAUCAGAAGCUAAAAUGUUUUCACCAGACCUAUAAUAUGCCUUCCCAAUGGUCUGUCAGCUGCUGCUAUGAAUGCAGAAAGUGAGGAUGAGGGUGAAACAAGUGAAGGUUUAAACUUGUCUAUGUGUAGCAAACAACCACUAUUAAACUUUUCAUUGUCUCUUUCACAACUUUGAAUACCAAUUUCCCGCAACUAUCGUGUAGAGAGUUUGGGUAUUCCGAAGCUGGGCAUUGCUAUUCCUUUGACAAUGACCUGAUAUUUUGGAAUCUCAGAAUUUUCCUUGACUUAGAGAACUGAGUCUCCUUGAUCCAAUGCAGGAGCCAAAUUCUGACUGAUCAUUUUGCCGAAGCUUGUGGACACCUAACUUCUAGAUGGUCUUUGUCAUCCUGGAUGCAGACUUGGUUCCCCAGUCAUUUCACCUUCAGAAUGUGCCUUGAACAAUGGAACUGAUUCUGGUUGAUUCCAUACAUGAGCCUAAUGCCGGCUGACCAUUUGUCUGAAGCUCACGGAGACCCACGUUCUAGAUGGUCUUUGUCAUCCUGUGUUCAAGAAUACCGAUUUGGAGCCAGGGUCCUUUCACCUUGAAGAAAGUUGAAAGAUAAGUUUAAGUACCUCUGUCUCUUUUGCAUCUCUGCCUUCAAACAUUAGAAAGCAAGACCUUCUAGGAAUCCAGUGACACUUACGGCAAAGAACUUGUUCUGGAACUUACUUUUGGAAUUCCCUAGUCAGAAGCCCAUGAGAAAAGGAUGGUAACUCAAACUGUCUUGUCUUUUUGGAUUCCAAGUAGUAGCUGUUGGGAAACAGAGCAGUGAUUCUUAAGGGAGGUAGGACACAAGGAUUGGGUCAGGACUUUCAAGCCCUGUUCCUUACACAGAUCAGUGAUAGGUGAAAGUGAUCUUCAAAUCCCUGCCAUUGGGUUGGGUGUCUAUCUAGCUCUCAUGUGGAUCGUUAGAGAUGGGGCAACGGCUUCAAGUUCUCCCUAUGUCAGGAGCCAAAUGCCGGCUAACCAUUUGUCCGAAGCUCGCCAAGAACUACCUGACAGAUGGUCUUUGUCAUCCUGGUAAACAGCACUGUUUUUGGCCCACUAUCAGGUAUACCUAUGUCCUUUGAGGAUGCGGGUCUAUGAUGACAAACCAAUGUCACAAAAGAGGUGAUGACAUAAAAAUCAUGCUCAAUAGGAUUACACUGAGGCCCAGGCAAAUGGACUGCGGAGAAAUGGGGGCCUAGUCUCCUCAGGCCAUUCUCAUAGACCAGUAAAAAAGGACCUCAUUCACCCAGGUGUGUUUCCCUCUCUGGGGAAUCCUGUGAGGUCCAAGUAAUCUUCUUUAGGAAAGCACCGAGCCUGCCUCAGAAGACAUUUGUUUGGGCAGUCUAUUGUAUGUCAAUUCUGGCUGGCAUCAACACUUUGCUUAUGUCCAUCUUUUCUUCUGCAUUUCAGUGAUGCAGGAUGCAGACUUGGUGCCCCAGUCAUUUCAACUUAAGGUGGGAAUUUCAAAGGCCUCUUAAUUUCAGGCGGGAGAUGAGCAUUGAAUCAUCCUCUGUUGUGCAGUUCCCUUGUUACUAUGCCUGGAGAUUUCAGAACCUUGAGAUCUAUGAAUUGAGGGGUCCAAGAAAUGGUUAUUCUACGAUUCCCCUGUCUUGGUACUUAUGUUUUGAUUCAUGGAAUGUUGACCACAUUCAUCCCCUUUCAGUCCAUUGGCAUUCCAUAUCACACAGUCUAGAAUUCCCUUGUCAAGUCACCGAAAAGUUCAACAAAUAUUACUGACCCAUCUGUUCUUUUUCAUUGAAAAGACCAUAUUUAUGUGAAUGGUAUUUUGUAAAAUAUAUUUUAACCACCUAAAUCUUCAGAUUUCUGUUCUUAAGUAAAUAAGACAUCUUAAAUCUUACUGCCUCUCAUUAUUUCCUAUCUCAUAUACUUAAAACUCGGUACCUCAUAUGCCAAUUUCUAUGCAUCUGUUCCUUCACCAGAAUUCUGAGUAAUACAAUGGAAUAAUUCGAUAUAAAUAGCCCAGGACAACAGACAAUACAUUUUAAUAAUCGACAUUUCUUAUUUAACUCCCUGUUAACUCUGACAAUGUACUCUUAGAGUUUUCACUAUUUAUUUUCUUUGCUGUCACAGGAAUGACUUUAAGAAUAUUUCCUAUAGGAAAGCACACAAAAUUUGUAUUUAACUAUUUAAGGCAUGAGAUAAUUUUUACUGUUCUUUUUCACAAUAUUGGAGCAUAAGGUGACCCUCAUGAGACUCAUGAUCAGACAAAUUAGCAAGAAUUAGUGUUACAUAAAAAAUCUUUUCUUUCGGGAUACCUAUAACUGAAAUUUAGAAAGUUAAGGAGAAUUACAAAGUGGUAGUUUACCAUAGAGAGAAUCAUCAAGACAUAAACACAAUAACCAAAAGACCUGCACUGAAAAUGCUUCUGAUAGUACUGUAGGCAUUACAUACCAGAUACACAUCCAUGAAGUUGAUGGCAUUUGAAUAUACACUGCAUUAUACAACAAAGAUUUGACUGUUAUUGACAAAAUGGAAAAUCCUUACUGGAUUGUGAGACACAGCACAAAGUCUGUGAUUAUGUGUAGGAGAAGAUGAUGAAAUCAUAGGGAAAUAAAGAGGAUGAGGAAUAAAAUGUAGUAAGCAUCUCGUGAUGAUUAUAUCCUCAUGAAAUCCAAAAGAUGGAAUGCCUCUAAAAUUAAUCAGAGGAUGACAUUUGCCAUUUUUAUUACUUUAAUUUUACAUAACAUUCUUCUAAAGUCAAUGCCAGUUCCCUCUCUCUUCCCUCAUUGAGCAACACCAAAAAUACCCUCAGCCCCCCAUGCUAUACCCACUCCCUUCCACAAAGUGUGUUUCCAGAAUCUGUCAUUUCGCUCAGGGAUGGGUCCAGACAAUCGCCUAAGAAUGAAGGCUGAGACAUCAUCCCUGUUUGUGUAAUGGACACACUAAGUACAUUUAUAUGCCUGGGAUGUAUACUGAUCUGUGCCCCAGGGACAAUAGUUUCAACAGGGUUAGAGUUAGGGUUAGGGUUCUCUUCUUCCCAGCUACCACUCCUCCCCACCUCCUGCC